UAGGGAAUCUUCAGCAAUGGGCGAAAGCCUGACGGAGCAACGCCGCGUGAGUGAUGAAGGUCUUCGGAUCGUAAAACUCUGUUAUUAGGGAAGAACAAAUGUGUAAGUAACUAUGCACGUCUUGACGGUACCUAAUCAGAAAGCCACGGCUAACUACGUGCCAGCAGCCGCGGUAAUACGUAGGUGGCAAGCGUUAUCCGGAAUUAUUGGGCGUAAAGCGCGCGUAGGCGGUUUUUUAAGUCUGAUGUGAAAGCCCACGGCUCAACCGUGGAGGGUCAUUGGAAACUGGAAAACUUGAGUGCAGAAGAGGAAAGUGGAAUUCCAUGUGUAGCGGUGAAAUGCGCAGAGAUAUGGAGGAACACCAGUGGCGAAGGCGACUUUCUGGUCUGUAACUGACGCUGAUGUGCGAAAGCGUGGGGAUCAAACAGG
rnacentral:rRNA from 1 species